GAGGAAUGUAUAGCAAUAGCUACUUGUAUCAUUAAUGAUGCAAGCUCGACUAUGUUGAAUAAAGUUCUAGGUAGAAUUAUGAUAAUGACAUUGUCUGCCUAUGUGUCUUGACCAAAUUACGUGCCAGCAGUCGCGGUAAUACGUAGAAGACUAGUGUUAUUCAUGUUUAAUCGGUUUAAAGGGUACCUAGACGGUGAAUCAAGCUUUAAAAUAAAUAAGAAAAGGGACUAAUUCGCUAGAGUUACUUACGAGGGGGUAUUAAAGUACUGCUGGUGUAGAGAUGAAAUUCUGUCAUACCUCUUUUCGAAAGAAAAAUCAUGGCACAGGUAUAGGCGAAGGCAUCCCCUUAUGUGAUAACUGACGUUGAGGGACGAAGGCUUCGUGUAACAAACAGGAUUAGAUACCCUAGUAGUUGAAGCAGAAAAUGAUGAAUGUCAUAGAUUAGACGUCUAAGUUUAUUCUAUAAAUGAAAGUGUAAGCAUUCCACCUCAGGAGUAAUUUGGCAACAUUGGAAUUGAAAUCAUUAGACCGUUUCUGAAACCAG
rnacentral:rRNA from 1 species